GACGAACGCUGGCGGCGUGCUUAACACAUGCAAGUCGAACGGAAAGGCCCUGCUUUUGUGGGGUGCUCGAGUGGCGAACGGGUGAGUAACACGUGAGUAACCUGCCAUUGACUUUGGGAUAACUUCAGGAAACUGGGGCUAAUACCGGAUAGGAGCUCCUGCUGCAUGGUGGGGGUUGGAAAGUUUCGGCGGUUGGGGAUGGACUCGCGGCUUAUCAGCUUGUUGGUGGGGUAGUGGCUUACCAAGGCUUUGACGGGUAGCCGGCCUGAGAGGGUGACCGGCCACAUUGGGACUGAGAUACGGCCCAGACUCCUACGGGAGGCAGCAGUGGGGAAUAUUGCACAAUGGGCGGAAGCCUGAUGCAGCAACGCCGCGUGCGGGAUGACGGCCUUCGGGUUGUAAACCGCUUUCGCCUGUGACGAAGCGUGAGUGACGGUAAUGGGUAAAGAAGCACCGGCUAACUACGUG
rnacentral:rRNA from 1 species